GACUGGACAGGGCUCAGAAUUUUAGGACAAAGAGAGAAGAACAUGGUGGCUUGGAGGACCGUCUCAGGAGGAGCUUCUACAGCUUCCAGCUGAAGUCACAGCAAAGGCUGAGCUCAUCAGGGGGAGGGCAGGAAGCACGAGGCAAAGGGACAGCAGGAGGAGGCCGGGGUGAGGGCUCCAGUGAAGAGUACGAUUUUAAAUAUCCGUCCAGAAAGACAGAGGCGCACCUCACGGUUCCUCCUAGAUUGUAAAUUCCCUGAGGGCAGAGUCGGCAUGGAGGCGGGAGGGCCACCCUGAGCUCCUCCCUGCCAUAUGUGAUUUCACUUCACCCUCACGACAGCUUUACCAGCUGUUGCUUCAUCUGCCAUUUUACUAAGACGACGGGACUGCUAAUGGAACAGCAUAACCUUGCUCAGAAUUCCAGCUUUGUGUUCAAGCAAUUUCUGGGGCGGUGGGGGGGGGAAUGGACGAGAAAGGAUUCAGAAUUUCUGCUGAAUAAGAAAUUAUUUCUGUUGAACUUUAGUAGCCUCAAACCUGUUUUAUUAUUCAAAGGAGAAGAGCCACAGAACUGCCUGGCAGAACGAAUUUAUGCAGGUUCAAAGG